GAUGAAGAACGUAGUGAAAUGCGAUAAGUAAUGUGAAUUGCAGAAUUCAGUGAAUCAUCGAAUCUUUGAACGCACAUUGCGCCCGCCAGUAUUCUGGCGGGCAUGCCUGUUCGAGCGACAUUUCAACCAUCAAGCCCCCGGCUUGUGUUGGGGACCUGCGGCUGCCGCAGGCCCUGAAAAGCAGUGGCGGGCUCGCUGUCACACCGAGCGUAGUAGCAUACAUCUCGCUCUGGGCGUGCUGCGGGUUCCGGCCGUUAAACCACCUUCAUAACCCAAGGUUGACCUCGGAUCAGGUAGGAAGACCCGCUGAACUUAAGCAUAUCAAUAAGCGGAGGA
rnacentral:misc_RNA from 1 species